rnacentral:lncRNA from 1 species
GAAUUUGGCAGCUAGUGCCCCUUAAACAGGUAAAGUUCAAUUAACAAAUUCUGAUCUACUGGCAUUCAACACCAAAUUACUUACUUGCUGUAUAUUGAUAAAUGUGAUUGUAUAUUGUCAAUACCUCAACAUCGAGAAUACGUCAUGUGAGGUGUUGGUCGCUACGUUUGAUACGGGGUCAAAGGUUGCGGCUUCGAGACAGAGAAAAACAUCCAGGUAAAAAGUGUAGAAUUUUGUUUUUGAAAAUUUGAGUUGUAAAUUUUCCUAAAAAGUACUUAAUUCCGUUCAUCUAGUUGUAAAUUUUCCUAAAAAAAAGUACUUAUUUCCGUUCAUCUAUUAUGGGUAUAAACUAAACUGAAC